CACUGUUCUUUGAGAGAAGAGAAGAAAGUGACAGGCUGAGGUAAGAGAAAACAGUUUUCAUCUCCAAGGUCCCUGCAGAGCUACUACAGCUGUGGAAGAAAAGCGAUUCGUUUCUCCUCUAUUAAUAAGCUGAUAAGUGUAAAAAAUGUGGCUCAUGCUCUGCCUCACCUUCUGCAGAAAUACCACCGCCUUUCUCUCCCAGCAGACAAACAGGGACAUUCUUGGAUCUUGGAUAUUCACUUGCUCAAUGAUGUCAAAUAUAUGAGAUUUACUUCAAAAAGCUGUUGAAGAAAGUAAAUGUCGUAUUUUUUUGUCCAA